GUGUGGUUGUUGCUGGCCCUCUCGGGGGCAUGUGCACACCCACCAUCCUCAUCUCUCCACCUGUGCACCUCUUGUAGACCUGGAUUGACUUUCCGAGGCAACUCGGUCGGGAAGAUUGCUGCGCUCUGUGAGCCAGCUUUCUUUGCAUGUCCAGGCCUAUGUUUUUCAUAUACCCCUAUAGAAUGUAACAGAAUGUAUCAUUGGGCCUUGUGCCUAUAAACCUUAUACAACUUUCAGCAACGGAUCUCUUGGCUCUCGCAUCGAUGAAGAACGCAGCGAAAUGCGAUAAGUAAUGUGAAUUGCAGAAUUCAGUGAAUCAUCGAAUCUUUGAACGCACCUUGCGCUCCUUGGUAUUCCGAGGAGCAUGCCUGUUUGAGUGUCAUUAAAUUCUCAACCUUAUUAACUUUUGUUGAUAAUGGAUUGGAUUGUGGGGGUUUCUUUUGCUGGCUUCUUCACAGAGAUCAGCUCCCCUUAAAUGCAUUAGCUGGUGCCCCGCGUGGACCAUCUAUUGGUGUGAUAAUUAUCUACGCCGUGGAUGUCUGCAAUCAUAUGGGUUUCGCACUGCUUCUAACCGUCUGUUCAUUCGGACAAUACAUGACAAUUUGACCUCAAAUCAGGUAGGACUACCCGCUGAACUUAAGCAUAUCAAUAAGCGGAGGAAAAGAAACUAACAAGGAUUCCCCUAGUAACUGCGAGUGAAGCGGGAAAAGCUCAAAUUUAAAAUCUGGCGGUCUCCGGCCGUCCGAGUUGUAAUCUAGAGAAGUGUUAUCCGCGCUGGACCGUGUAC
rnacentral:rRNA from 1 species